rnacentral:lncRNA from 1 species
GAUUGUUUUGGCGGCUGUCGGAGGAAUCGCGGCGACAGGGUUUCCGCCGGAGUGGUUCGGGCGGCGGUUUGACGUCGCUGGCUGACGAAGAAGGGUAGGAGAGAGACCGAGUUGAAGGCGGCUCUGCCGCGAAAAAGAUAUAGCAGGUGAGUGGAGAAACUGCAGAGAGUGGGUCGAGAAGAGGAGAAACAGCGGUGGAUGGGUGGCUGAUGAUGGCGGUGCCAAGGGUUUGACGGCGGCGGCGCGGUGGCGCGGUGUUCAGGCUGAGGGAGGAGAUUGUGAAACAGGGGUUUGAAGGGUUGGGACAGGGGAGAGUUGCAGAAGAAGGAUAGAGAGAGAAAGAAAGGCUGAGAGAGAGAGAAAAGGAGGGGGAAAGGAGAGGUUGGCAGUGGUGGUGUCCUGACGGAGGUCUGGCCAGUGUGGUUGUUUGUGCAGCUGACUAUUAAACGGCGGUGCUAGCAGCUCAGCCGCAGUUGUGGUGGCGAGAUCACCGGAGAGGAUGAAGAUCAGAGGUGGCUUUGCUAAGAGGUGUAUGUAUUUGUAUAUGUUGUUGGGGUGUUUAACUCGGCAGAGAUUGAGGCUGUGAGUUUUGAAAUGUGUAGGAAUAACUUGUGAAUCAGCGUUGAGUCUGGUGAAUGUUGUGAGCUUAUGAUCAAUCGAAGGGGAAAUUUUCAGGACCGGCCAGUGAGGGGUCAGGGUGCUGCUGUGCCGGGUGACAACAAGUUGGGCUGAAAUUUGAGUAAAGGAAGUUGUUGCAGGUAAGAUGGUGGGCUGAGAUUGAUGAUCAGGGGGGAUAUUCCUAUAAAGGAAAAAGAUAAGUGAGUAAUGGAAUGCAGGGGAGAGUAUAAUGGAUGCCCCUGGUGCUGGUUUUUGGGCUGCUGGCUGAGUGAUAACUAUAGUCCGAUGGUUGUGGGGAUUUGUGGUUGAGGGCAAUAAGAGGGUGCUGAUUGAGGGAUGAGGCAGGAGAAUUGGUGUGGUUGAUAGACAUGUAUUCUGGUAGGGGUGGAGAAUGGUUGCAGAGCAAUUUCAGAAGAUAAAAAUGGAAUGAAUACUAGUUAAUUAUGGAUUAUGUAAUUGUUAUUAUUGAUAUUGUUAUUAUUAUUAUUAUCAAUUCUUUGAUAAUAAUAAUGAUAAUUAAUAAUUCUAAUAACGUUAAUAAUCAAUAAUUGAUUAUCUUGAAUUCUAUUUUUAUUCCGAUUAUUUGUGAAUAAAGGUAGCUGGUUGAGUUUGAAUUGUCUGGAGUAUAAUUUUAUCUAAAUUUGGGAUUGUGUUGGAUAAAUGCUUCGUGCUUUAUAAUAAGUUGAAUUCGAGUAUAUGCAAUGUUCAAGGACCUUAUAUCUACAAUAUAGAUUCAAAUAUUCGAACAGUGGAAUGUGAUUGGAAUUACAAAUUGUAUUAUUAUUAUUAAAAGAAUACAUGAUCAUUGUAAUCAAAUUUCUGGACUUUAUGUUAUUAGAAUCUUGUGACGAUUGCUAUGAGUUUUAUUAAAAUUCCGGAAAUUACUAUUGAUUCUCAAUUGUCGGACUAAGCUAUAUAAGCUUACAUUUUGAGGAGUAAUUAUAUUAUUUGGACAGGGAUUGUUCUGUUAUUAAUUUGUGGCUUGCUCAAAUUUAAAAUGUAUGCUGUCCAAAAUUAUAGUAUUUUAUUAAUUUAGUUUGAUGAGAUUUCGAGUUGAUUUGAGAUGUGAUUGAAUUACAAUUGGACUUGUAAUUCGGAUGACUUGAUUUCUGUUGUGAUAAAUUGGAGUUGGAUUUAUAUCCAGGGGAUAUUACUACCGUAAUUGAUUGUUUGUAUAUAAUCAGAUAUAAGAUUAUAUAAAAGAUUUAUUUGACUAUUUAUAUAUUUAAAUAUUAAAGCAUGCAAAUUCUCUUUUAUGUGCUGAUGUGACUAAUUGCAAUACUAUGUGUAUAUAUUAAUUGUAUAAAAUAUAUUUAUAUGACGAAGGGUAGUAAUAUAAUUUUGAUUCUGCGAAUUGAUGACUUUCUGGAUUGCUCUCAACUGAAAUAUUAUACUGCUUUGAUAUAUAGUCUCUCGAGUCGCGUGCAUCAACGAUUGUCAGAAGCAAACAAAUAGCGUGGCAAGGCAAAUCAGAAAUAUUUUGAUAAGGCGAUAUUGUGCCGUAAGAUAGUCCAAUAGAUUAGUCAUUUCAGAAUUAGCGAUUGAGGCCAAUCUAGGAAUCUCGAGUAGGUGACUGUGUGUCACCUGUUUAUGUCAAAGGCAAGUAUCCCUAUCUUCACUUAUUGUUCAAGUGAUAUUUUCUUUAAACCCUUAUGCAAGUAAUUCUAUUCUCUAACUUGUAUUUACUGCAAGUAUUCCUAUUCUUCUCUUUUAUUUAAAGAGCAACUAUUUCAAUUCCUCUUUUCAUAAAGCAAGUUUGCAAUUAUGACUUGUACUUCCUGCAAGCAUGUUUCUGAUAUUUAAAAGUACUAAUGCUUCAAUCUUGUCUUGUGAUUUAAAAUAUCGAAUAUCUUUAGUUCGAUACUUUUUACUAUUAUAUGAACAGUGACAACUUUCUUUGAAAAGUAUUCUGAUUAUUUUAAUCAGUUUUCUGGAAAUUAUUGUCUGAGUCCUUUUCCAGUUUGAAAACUAUUAAUGACUCCAUAGCAGUCAUAUUUCGAUACUACAAUAUAUGCCUGGUCUUCUGUCCCAGACAUAAACCCUGAAAUUUUAAAUAGCGAAAAUAGUUGUUUUAAUUCCUUUGAGCCGCAUUGAGGUGGAUUUUAAAACUAUACUCAGACUUUAAUGAAAUUGAUUUUGACAGUAUUUUAAAACUGAAAAUGAAAGAGUUUUCAGAAAGGUUUUGAAAAAGAUGAUUGUAUGGCGUAAGGGGCUAGUGAUUAGUCCAGCCAGAGAGACCAGCAAAAUUAUUUUGUUUUGAUUGGAUGAAUGCGUAAGAGGCCGUGGCGGCGGUCCAGCGAAGGGCUAGGUAUUAUAUGAAAUAUAUAUAUAUAAUGCCAGAUUUGACAAAGGCCAAUGUGUUGCCUUCUAUUCGGUACCUAUUGUUUGGAUCUACUUCUACGAAGCAUGAUUCGGUGCUAUCACAGGAUGUCCUGAUCAGCUGUGUUAGUGCACCGUCAGUUGAGGAUUCCAAUCCAAAAACUGGUCAUUUAUUGUUUAAGCUUAUGAUAGCUUAUGUUUACUGUCAAAUAUAUCUUGUGAAUUUUCAAGCAUAUUGAUUUAUAUGUUUGAUAAACUUUUGAGUUACAAAUGUUAUGAUUUACUUCAAAAGUUUGCUCUAUUUCAAAUACUCUGAUUUAAUUCAAAAGAAUUUAUAUCUUGUGGCUCUUGCCUUUCCUAUUAUCUUGCUGAGCAUUUUUGCUCACUCUUGCUAUUGUUUCUAACCCUUUCAGCUAGGGAUUAAGAAGAUUCGAUUGUUGAGCUGCGCGUAAGAAUAAUGCUAGGCGAGAUGCCAGGGAGAUGUUUGUGAGAAUGGCUAUGGUUAGAAUUGAUUUAUUUCAAUUCUGUUGUAAAUAGAUUUAUUUAUUGGUUAUCAGUUAUUCUUCUUAUCGAAGUUUAGCUGAUAAUGUCGUUUAAGCUGUGAUGAGAUUUAAGGUUUUGGUUUCUGAUUUCAAUGCUGUAACCUAUUAGCGAUCCUGUUUUUAGGGGGUCAAAGUGAUUUUGAUUUUAAUCUCUUUUAAAAUGUCCAGAUAUUUUAUAUAUCUGCUUUACCUUUUUCCGCAAAUACAAGUUUUUAAAUGAUUUUAUUUUAGUGGCACCAAAUCCAGACCUCCGGAUUUUGGGGCUGUCACAGUUGGUAUCAGAGCUAUAGGUUAUAAGUUAUUGAAAUCAUAAUGUAGAUUGUGAUUAGAGAGAGUGUUUCUUGGAACCUCAUAUAGAGGUAAGUCAAGACUAUUUGGUAUAGUCUUUGUUGAUGGAACUGAGGUAGAUGAGUAUUGAUUCUGAGCAAUCAUUUGAGAUAUCCUAGCUUCCAGUUUGAGAACUAGUGAGUUUGGAUCUCUGGAGAAACAUGAUAGAAUACCUUUAGUUCUGACCUUUUUGAGCUUGAAGUUGACUUCUGAGUAACCAUUGUCAGCUAGACUCGUGGAUAAACCUGUCUAGCUGGUCUGGAAUGUUCCUUACUAUCUUUACCACUUCUAGAAUAUUGGGUAGAAGUUAAUCCAUUAUUUUUAUAGAAUGAUAGAAGGAGUAUGAGAUCGGUGGAUCAAUGUGAGAAGCCAGGUGUAUAGUUCUUGAUUUGAGAAUUAUAUAGAAAUAGUGUUAGACUACUCGAUAUAGUAUUAUGAGUAGGUUAGAACGUCAACGCUCUACAAUGCUGAUUGUAUAAAGCUGGAUAUGACUUCUGAUAGUACCAAGCUCGACAAGACUUCUACCUAACGUGGAUGUUGGUGAUGAGAUUUACGAAGGCGAAUACGUGUUAACGAUAAUAUUGAUCAUAGAAUCAAAACGAAUCAUGAGAAGAAUCGAUCGAGAAGACAUCUGUGAUAGUCUUGGCAAUACCUUCCUCAUUAUUGAUUCCAUUGAGUAUUUUCACAGUCAGUGAACUGUUUUAACAUCUCUUUUAUAGAGACAUUCAUGAAGAAUAUAUAUUCCUUUCUAAGAGUAUAUUCAUUAAAGAAUAUACUUCUCUCUAAAAGUAUAUUUCUCUCUCCAGAAAUUAUAAGGAUGCUAAUGCCUAUUGCAUUACUUUGUAUAAUCCUUUUUGUCGAAAUUUUUAUCUUUUGAAUCUAUCCAAUUUUAAACCUAAGGUUCAUAACAAAGAUUCAUUUCUCAAAACUCAAUCAUUGUUGGUCGAUUUUGAAAUUUUCUCAUAUUUUCAACUCUAACUGAGAUGAACAACCCUACUUAUAGGGGACACAAGGACUCUCUGUCUGUGUGAUAGAAGUUUGAUGGGACGCCAUCACUUGUGUGUUGUGCAUUACAAGAAGGCUAAUUACCUUUAGUAGUAUCUUCGAUUAGAUACGCAACAUAGUUCUCUAGAUCAUAUUGAUCUCUCAGCAUUUCUUUAUUUCAUAUCAGUUUGCUUUCGAAAUUCGUACCUAUGGCAUUUGCUUUGAUAUCUUAAAUCUGAUUUAUUUUAAGAUUCGACGAUUCUUAUUUGUCAAUCAAUUAUGAGGGUAUGCCAGUCAAGUUCAAACGAGCUAAUACUACCCGUACACUUCAAGAUUUCGUAUACAAAAGCAGAUCACGAUGCGACUUAUAAGAAAACGUAUGCUCUUGUUCUUUCUUCGCGGAUUCCGAGGACGGAAUCCUGAUAAGGGGGGAAGUUUGUGACGACUAGGAAAAUUCUAUUAUUAAUUAUUAAUUUGUUAUUAAAUUUUUAAUGAGCAGGAAUAAUAUUUUAUAUUUUAUUCCAAGUUUUGGAUUUUCAAAAACAAUUUUGGGAGUUGGUGCAACUAUGUGAGUAUUUGAUUUAAUUAUGUUACGUAUUAAAUGUGCAGUUUUGAUAUUUCAUUUUGUGUGAGUGUUUAAAUUAGAACUUCAGUUAUUUUAUUGUUUUUGAUAAAUCACAAUUGUUUCUCAGUUUUAAAAAUCUAAACUUUGUUUUAUUUGAGCCCAAAAGAUUUUAUCUGAUUUAAAUUACCAAAUAUUCAAAAUUUGGUAUUUUUUGUAUUUCUGUCGGAUUCAAAAAUAUUUGAAAAGUGUGCAAAUGAUUAUUUUAAUUGUUGUAAUUUAAAAAUGAUUUUUGAGCUUUAAUUGCAAAAAUAGAGAAAGAUUUUAAAAAUAUUAUUUUUGCAAAUAUUGUGUAUUCGGGAUUACUAGAAUUUACAGGAAGUUUUAUUUUUAUAUUUGGGUGAUAUUUUUGGACCUCCAAAUUGUUGAAAUAGCUCUUAAUUUAAAUUGGGGGUAUGAGUUUUAGUAAAUAUAAAUAGUUUUCUAAAAAUCUUUUUAAUGUAUACUGAUCAGUUAUACAGCAGCGUGUAAACAGUUUUGGGGUAGAGGCGGCUAAAUUAGGGUUUUGGAUUUCAUUCCUUCAAUUGGAUUCAAGCUCUAAUCAGGUGAGUGAGUUGAUUGUGUGUUUAACUGUGUGUAUACAUAUCUCUGUGUGUUGUGGAUUGUUUUGGCGGCUGUCGGAGGAAUCGCGGCGACAGGGUUUCCGCCGGAGUGGUUCGGGCGGCGGUUUGACGUCGCUGGCUGACGAAGAAGGGUAGGAGAGAGACCGAGUUGAAGGCGGCUCUGCCGCGAAAAAGAUAUAGCAGGUGAGUGGAGAAACUGCAGAGAGUGGGUCGAGAAGAGGAGAAACAGCGGUGGAUGGGUGGCUGAUGAUGGCGGUGCCAAGGGUUUGACGGCGGCGGCGCGGUGGCGCGGUGUUCAGGCUGAGGGAGGAGAUUGUGAAACAGGGGUUUGAAGGGUUGGGACAGGGGAGAGUUGCAGAAGAAGGAUAGAGAGAGAAAGAAAGGCUGAAAGAGAGAGAAAAGGAGGGGGAAAUGAGAGGUUGGCAGUGGUGGUGUCCUGACGGAGGUCUGGCCAGUGUGGUUGUUUGUGCAGCUGACUAUUAAACGGCGGUGCUAGCAGCUCAGCCGCAGUUGUGGUGGCGAGAUCACCGGAGAGGAUGAAGAUCAGAGGUGGCUUUGCUAAGAGGUGUAUGUAUUUGUAUAUGUUGUUGGGGUGUUUAACUCGGCAGAGAUUGAGGCUGUGAGUUUUGAAAUGUGUAGGAAUAACUUGUGAAUCAGCGUUGAGUCUGGUGAAUGUUGUGAGCCUAUGAUCAAUCGAAGGGGAAAUUUUCAGGACCGGCCAGUGAGGGGUCAGGGUGCUGCUGUGCCGGGUGACAACAAGUUGGGUUGAAAUUUGAGUAAAGGAAGUUGUUGCAGGUAAGAUGGUGGGCUGAGAUUGAUGAGCAGGGGGGAUAUUCCUAUAAAGGAAAAAGAUAAGUGAGUAAUGGAAUGCAGGGGAGAGUAUAAUGGAUGCCCCUGGUGCUGGUUUUUGGGCUGCUGGCUGAGUGAUAACUAUAGUCCGAUGGUUGUGGGGAUUUGUGGUUGAGGGCAAUAAGAGGGUGCUGAUUGAGGGAUGAGGCAGGAGAAUUGGUGUGGUUGAUAGACAUGUAUUCUGGUAGGGGUGGAGAAUGGUUGCAGAGCAAUUUCAGAAGAUAAAAAUGGAAUGAAUACUAGUUAAUUAUGGAUUAUGUAAUUGUUAUUAUUGAUAUUGUUAUUAUUAUUAUUAUCAAUUCUUUGAUAAUAAUAAUGAUAAUUAAUAAUUCUAAUAACGUUAAUAAUCAAUAAUUGAUUAUCUUGAAUUCUAUUUUUAUUCCGAUUAUUUGUGAAUAAAGGUAGCUGGUUGAGUUUGAAUUGUCUGGAGUAUAAUUUUAUCUAAAUUUGGGAUUGUGUUGGAUAAAUGCUUCGUGCUUUAUAAUAAGUUGAAUUCGAGUAUAUGCAAUGUUCAAGGACCUUAUAUC